AUUGAACGCUGGCGGCAUGCCUUACACAUGCAAGUCGAACGGCAGCACGGACUUCGGUCUGGUGGCGAGUGGCGAACGGGUGAGUAAUAUAUCGGAACAUACCCUAGAGUGGGGGAUAACGUAGCGAAAGUUACGCUAAUACCGCAUACGAACUAAGGUUGAAAGUGGGGGAUCGCAAGACCUCAUGCUCAUGGAGUGGCCGAUAUCUGAUUAGCUAGUUGGUGAGGUAAAGGCUCACCAAGGCGACGAUCAGUAGCUGGUUUGAGAGAACGACCAGCCACACUGGAACUGAGACACGGUCCAGACUCCUACGGGAGGCAGCAGUGGGGGAAUAUUGGACAAUGGGCGAAAGCCUGAUCCAGCCAUGCCGCGUGUGUGAAGAAGGUCUUCGGGUUGUAAACUGCUUUGUACGGACGAAACGGUGAGCUCUAAUACAGUUUGCUAAUGACGGUACCGUAAGAAUAAGCACCGGCUAACUACGUGCCAGCA
rnacentral:rRNA from 1 species